GUUAAAUUCAAUAUUAUCAAUUACGAUUCUACUUGUGAAUGUGAAAGAAUAAGGUGUAAAGUGAUGUGAACAUUGAAAUCAAGAAAGAAAUCUCUUUUACUUUAUCGUUCAUUUAAUCCAAAUACGAAUCUUUCCUAUGAAUUAAUUACAGAAACAUUUCCGGCGUAGUGAAAGCGGAAGUAGCGUGUAAAAGAAAGUUUAAUCAGUGCAAUAUAUGUAACGAACAAUUCCAUACGUAAUUUUUUUCAACGGAUAUCUGAACUGAGUCAUCAUGGACAUUUCUUUCUCCUUUUAAUUAAAAUGAUUUACGAUAUUCAAUUAGGAUAGACAUCAAACGGUAUUUCGUGAUAAGUUCCAACAGUUUUUAAUUCGUUAGAUAAAAGAAUCCAACUAUUUUUUUUUCUUUUUUGUCAAAAUUCAAUUCCAUGUACUGUUCGUAUCCAAGUCGAUUAAUUAAUCAAGUGUUUUCGCGGCGUGACACGUUUCUACCUGAGAUUCUCUCGUAUAUCUCGUUUGUGUUUCCGUAAUUAACGCGUUGAAUUGUUCCAUAUGAUGCGACACGGAAACUGGAAUGCGUGUUAGUGCGAUCGUAACACGGCAGUCCCAUGACUCGAUCAUAUGCAAAUCCAAAUGCAAUCUGGCAGAGCCGGUGACAACGAGUAACGGUCGAGAAACCUUAGGUGAUCCGAGGCGAUCGAAUUUCGAAAUCGACACGACUGCAUCGCAUAAUGGCCAUACAGUUACAGUUUGAAAAGGAGCAGAGACAAGUCACGUAAGAAUUGAGGAGAGGAAAAAAAAAAAAACGACAAAUGUAGGAAGCGGAAAAUUCAACGCUAUUUCAUUUGCUGCGAGAUAUAUAACUCAGAUUAUACGAAUGCAAAGAGAUUCUUCGACGUGCCAUAAAUUGCGCUUAAAUCGUAUCGCAACUACGAAAAGGCAAAUUCUGCUCCAAAAACACUGAAUGAGGCGAAUAUAUCUACUUACUAAUCUGAUCAUCGUUGUUGCCUGCCAACUUGUUUUUACGAUUUUGAUAUUUUAUUAACACUUUAUUGCGGCAAUCUUAAGAUAUUCGUUACCGAGGAGGAAGUUCGUGUGUUAAUAUCAAGAUCCAGAAUAUACAUGAACAACAUGUGUGUCAUAUACGAGUGACAAUAAAAUCCUGGACACGUUGGAAAUUUGUGGAUGAGGAUGAGCGAGAGGAGGAAGAACAAAUUCAUUAGAUUCAUCGAUAAUUGCAAGGGAAAUAUCUUCGGGAACUUCCCACGAUAGAAUCUUUAAUGCAGCCACUUUCUUACCGAAUA